AAGGGAGGAACUGGAUAAAUCUAAGAACUGCACAAUGUUAACUCACAAAGAAGAAUUAAAAACAGAAGACGUUUUCCUACGUAACAAACCUGCACAUCCUGCACAUGUAUCCUGGAACUUAAAAUAAAAUAAAAUAAAAUUUUUAAAAAGAAUAAAUAAAUAGCAGCCUAGUCCAAAGACGUUUACAUCCUGGAAGAGAACUUGCUGGCUUUUCACCUCAGCAUGUAUGGGCCAAACUAAUAUAACAAGAAGUCUUGAGAGGAGUCAGCGGCCAAGCUCCAUGUCUUGCAGCCAAACAAUGCUGUGGGAUGGAAGGUGGGAUGUCAUGUGUCUGGUUUACAGCACUCACGUAUCAGUUGGCAGUUAACGGAAGUGCUACUGAUUGUAACAGUGGAAGCAAUUUGAAAUGAAAUACAACACUUAAAGCAAAUGAAACGGAAGUGAAUGCCAGCAGUAAAUGGCAAGAAGAAAUCCAGUUCAGUGUGUUCCUCAGAAAUCUUGCCUCUUGGGACUAAAUGCUGCAAAUGUAACUCUUAUCCUUGUUUUUCAAGUUUUACCAUCUCAAAGCUAUCCACUUUAUAUUAAAUUAGUUCUGUUAUAUUAUGUCAAUUUGUAUUCUUAAGAGCACAAGUUUGGCCUCAAAUAGACCUGAGCUGAGAUCCAAUUCUUUAAUUUAUCUGUGUUGUUUUCUUUUUCCUUAGCUUUAAAGUGGAAAAAAUGCUACUUACAUUUUAUUUAUGAAGGUUAAAGAUAAAGUGUCUGAUAUGGGACCUAUCAUAUGUGGUAGGCACUUAGUACAUGGUAGCAAUUAUGAUUAUUAUAUCUGAUAUUAGCAUUAUUAUUAUGAUUUGUUUUAAUCUUCAAAGUAUCAACUGUUUCUAUUACAUUUGUGGUAAAUACUCCUAAACAGAGUUUUUAAGUUCAAGUGUCCAAAGUUGUUAGAAACAAAGAUAUUUGACAAUAACAUAAUCAUAUCACAUGACCUCAUGAUUUAACCACCUCCCAAAGUUGCCACCUCCUAAUAUUAUCACCUUGGGGGUGAGGUUUCAACAUAUGAAUUUUAGAGGAACAUAAACAUUCAGACCAUAGCAAUAAUGAAGAUAAAGAGUUUAUUCAUAGAUAAAUGUUAAGAAGUAGAUACUGUUUGUUAGGAGAAGUGUCCACAGUUAGGGAGAAGUUAGAGGUCUGGUGUCAUCUUUGAUUUUUGUGUUUCUUCCGGAACCCUGUUGCCUGGCUUCCUACACUAUUUCUUGUGUCUUUUUCUUGUAGCUAAACUUGAACAUUUUUUCCUUGAGUACCAUUUUACAAUCAACUGUGCUUUUAUGCAGUGGACUUUCACUGAAUGUCCCCUAUUGGAAAUUUUAACAACAAUUUAACAACUAUUUAUUUGAUACUUUCUGUAUAACCAAUAUUAUUGAACAUCCUAGGAACACAUACAUAAAUAAAACUUGAUCUCUGCUUUCAGAAAAGUUGAUCUAUUUGGAAAGAUAUCAAGAAAAUAAACAACCUCAACAU
rnacentral:lncRNA from 1 species